UCCAUGUCUGAUUAUAAAUAUUCGGACUUGGUUAGAAAAGAUCAGUCCUCAAAUCAUCAUCAUUGAGGAAGAGCAUACUCUCCAGCCAUCCUGAAACCUUAAAGAUAUACAAUCACAGACUGUAGAACAACUUCUCCCGUCAGAGACUGUGUUGUCUGGUGUACUUGUUGCUUGGAACGAUAACUAUACUUUUACACUAUUAUUGGACUUUGUAACCGAGAUAACUUUCUUACCUGAUUUGUAUUAACUUUAUCGUUUGCUUCGUAACCUUAUUAAAGUUAUUUGAACUUAGUACUCUGUUUCCUUUGUGCUGUGUUACAGAGUCAAUAUGGUGCCAUGACCAGGAUAAGCUGUUCUUGCUAGCGAACGGGUUCAGUCGCCGAGGAACACAUCUUACGUUCUCUUUCUUAACAAGCGUUGGUCGGGUAAAUUGUGGCAGAGACAACGGGGUCUAAAGAUAGAGGACAAAAAGGGUGAUCCUUUGGUGACGAUUAACUCGGUUGGCGAUAAAGACGCUGGCAGGAACAUCAAUCCUUCUGCAACAAUGGAGACUACUGUUUACAGUACAGGGACAGAGGAACCGGAUGCAAUACGUAAUGUACCCAUUAAUUAUUGGGAAUCCGGAAAAGAGCAAAAGUGAAAAUUAUAUUUCAUGAACUUUGAAGUAUUGUCACUACCGUGAACUUGAACAUUGUGUACAUACGUUGAUUAUAAUUUAUUACGGGAGAUGGGACCAAUUGUCGUUUUAUUCGUAUUCAAUAUAGACUUUCUUUUGUGGUGAUGGAACAAUUUUAUUACGUCGUCUAAUGUGUAAACGUGUAAAAACUUUUAAUUCUAUAGACAUUUAUGGUGAGAGGAUUAUGGACUUUUCAUUCUGCAGUUGCAGAAUUUAUGAAUUAAACUUAAUUCAUCUUAAGCAAGGGAGGAAUGUAACACAAUUAGCUACAACAAAUUGUGUUAUUAUUAUUAUCCUUGUUUAUUUUUCACGUAUCUAUUUUACACUUGUCUGCAUGGACAUUAAUUAAUACCUGUACAGAGAAGCACCCUAGCCCCAGGCACUCGACUAGAGCCGUGCUUGCUCAUGCGGACACGGACCGUUACUUGUACAUCAGUAUACGACGCCUCGAGGGAUAUGGUCACCGACUUUACCUUCUACGCUGGAGUGACGGGUGGAUGCACCAACACCUGAUGACAACUCAGGGACAUUUUGACCAAUACCGUGGAGAUCAUGCAUCAUCUAUGACAAGACCAUCGAGUAAUGAUUGAAUGUUCUAUCAUCUUAAGACAUCCAUGUCUGAUUAUAAAUAUUCGGACUUGGUUAGAAAAGAUCAGUCCUCAAAUCAUCAUCAUUGAGGAAGAGCAUACUCUCCAGCCAUCCUGAAACCUUAAAGAUAUACAAUCACAGACUGUAGAACAACUUCUCCCGUCAGAGACUGUGUUGUCUGGUGUACUUGUUGCUUGGAACGAUAACUAUACUUUUACACUAUUAUUGGACUUUGUAACCGAGAUAACUUUCUUACCUGAUUUGUAUUAACUUUAUCUUUUGCUUCGUAACCUUAUUAAAGUUAUUUGAACUUAG